AGUCUCAGUUCAGACUGAGAGAUGCAGAGCGACAGAGACACUCGAUCUGACGCGAGAGUGUUUAAUUUGAUUAAAUAUGACUCCUAAGUUCAUAUAAACUGAAGAAAUCAGAAUUUAACAUGCAUAUAUUCAAUUAUACAGCGUGAUUGUGUGGAUUGAGCACUUUUUGAGCUUUCAUUUUGUACCUGUGUGAUUAUGUAAAACCACAUGGUGCGUUGUGUUCACUGCUGUUCGCUGACGCCAUUUUGGUUGCACGUGCCUGUGAAAGACUAAAAGAGAAGGAAACACGUGAAUGGACAGGCCAGGUUUUUUUCCUUUCGUAUGAACAUUCCUUGAGCUGGAUUUUCCUAAUUGAUGGCGAGCCUCCCAUUUCGACUUGAUUGGAUCACGAAUCUAGAGGAAAGGACAAUUUUCUAUUUUAAAUAUUUUUCUUCAGACAAGUAAGAGGAUACAUUUCAGAAACUGUUUCCUUAUUUUGUUUGUUUACUUUAUUGAAAUGAAACAUUUCAGAAGCACAAUUCUGAUAAUUUAAGACUGAUCAAUACUCCAAUUGAUAAGAACUUUGAACUUGAAUACUGAUUUCAGUGUGUUACAUAUAUAAUUUGUACCAUCUUUGUACAUUGAUUGUGACUGAUUUCUGUAAAUGAGAAGUAAUUUAGAGGGUGCACCCAUAGUAUAUAUAGUUAAUUGUAUUUUCAUUGUUGUUACUAUUUUUGUGAUUAAGGAAAGAAAAAGAAAGGUUUCUCAAUACUCAAAGUAAAAUAAUUUAUUAAUCAACUUACCUUCUGUCUCUGCUUGUUGCUCACUAUCACUGCUACCUCCUCCUUCGUACCGUGCACCCUUCUGAUCUUAUUAUUAUGCCUGGUCCAUAAGUAAGUGAGUUAAUACCCGCUACAUAAAGAAAGUACACUUUCAUGGCAAUAUUUCUAAACACAUUUAAUAAAUGAUCAUUAGACUGAUGUGACCUACCAAAGACUUGUUAAUUUAAAGUUCAUGCAGUUCUUUUUUAGUUGUCUGUUAAAAUGUAAAAAAAUUAUAACUUUGAGUUUAUUUUUUUCUAAGGGAUGUAAUUAUUCAAUAUUGAUAGUUGUUUGUUUGAUUCCAAUUUAACAAUAUUAAAAUGAGUUUUUUUUUUGUUUGGACAUAUACAACUCAUAAUUAAUUUAUUAAAUGUACUUUUGCAAAACAAAAAAUCUGAUUCAUAAUUUGACUACCAAACUGUUUUAUUGUCAGUGUAAGCAUUGUGGUUUUUGUUUGUUUGCAAUGCAUUAAACUGAAAUGAAUACAUAUUUAAUUAACUAGAUUUGUUUUUCAGUAUUUUGAGAAGUACAUAAAUAUAUUUCACAUACAAUAGAAGUAGUUAAAGUACAUACUGUAGAAAGAUGCAUUGAAAUCACUUCACUGCACUGAAAUCACAGUUCAACUGAUUUAAUUUUAUAUAUUUGAAUUUAUUUGGCCAACUUGUAUUUGAAACAUUACAUUUAAUGAGUAAUUAAAUGUACUGUUAAUAUACAUUAACUUAUUUUUAAUUUCACAUUAAUUGCUUGACAGUAGAUUGAACAGUGCACUUUAAGUAUAUUCUAAAAACACUAGAAGCAAUUAUGAAAGUAGAUAUAAAGUUGUAAUAAAGUACCAAUUAAGUUGUUCCAAAAAAUCACUCUUAAUGGCAACUUAUUACAUUUUAUUUCAACUUAAUAUAUGAUAUAUGUGAAAUUAAUUACACUUAAUGUGCAUUUAGUGCGCCGAAAAGAUUGCAUUUAAUUCACACUUAAGAGUAUUGUUAACAGACAUUAAAUUGCAUUUUAAAUCACAUUAAUUUCAUGUCUUUAUAUUGUGUAGUGCACUUUAAGUAUAUUUUAAAAACACUAGAAGCAAUUAUGAAAGUAGGUAUAAAGUUGUAAUAAAGUACCAAUUAAGUUGUUCCAAAAAAUCACUCUUAAUGGCAACUUAUUACAUUUUAUUUCAACUUAAUAUAUGAUAUAUGUUAAAUUAAUUACACUUAAUGUGCAUUCAGUGCGCCGAAAAGAUUGCAUUUAAUUCACACUUAAGUGUAUAUACUUAAAGUGUAUUAUUUAUGUAAUAAGUACACUUUAUAAAAGUACACUUAAGCACACUUUUUUUUCAC